AUAAGCUUGGUCAUCUUCUUCUCAUUCAAUUGUCUCCACCGAAUACUGAAAAAAACAAAACAAAGAAGAAACCAUUGUUUUUACUUAGAAGCUUUCGGCCCUCUUGUAUUUGACAUUUUGCGAAAUAAGGUUGUCGAAUCAUCUUCAAGACUCACACUAUCAAGCUUCAGUCUAGAUAGAUCUUGAUAUUGUUUUUAUUUAGGUUGUUUUGGAAUUAUGUGAUUGAUCUUAAAGGUUAAUGUUGUAAUGUGAUUAUAAUAGCUUAUAUAUAAUGUUGCUUUUAAAGGUCAUACGGUAUGUUUGAUGGAAUAAAUGGAAUAUAUGUAUGUUUAGUUUAUGUAUUAUUGGUUUUGGAAUCAAGAA